rnacentral:rRNA from 1 species
GGUAGUCCACGCCGUAAACGAUGAGUACUAGGUGUGGGGGGUAUCGACCCCCUCCGUGCCGAAGCCAACGCGAUAAGUACUCCGCCUGGGGACUACGGCCGCAAGGCUAAAACUCAAAGGAAUUGACGGGGGGCCCGCACAAGCAGCGGAGCGUGUGGUUUAAUUCGAUGCAACGCGCAGAGCCUUACCCAGGCUUGACAUGGCGGCAGUAGCGACGGGAAACCGCCGCGACUCGUCGAGGCGAGCACCGCCACAGAUGCUGCAUGGCUGUCGUCAGCUCGUGCCGUGAGGUGUUGGGUUAAG